rnacentral:lncRNA from 1 species
GAGGCUUUCAUCCACAGGGAAUUCUGUCCUCCUCAGAAACACAGCUGUAGAGCAAAGCCUUAUUACUGCUGCAGGAAAAAAAGAAACACAUGCUUCAGUGACUUUUGUCCUGGGGUAUAAGGCCAUACAAAUGAUCCUACAGGACAUGCUAGAAGCCAUGGAAGAGUGGUCUUAGAUGGCAGUCCUGGGAGGCUACUGUAUUCUUGCCUGGUGCCA